GGAAAUGUGUCUCUAAGAGAGCCAUUUGGAUUUCACCCGCACACUUACGUAAGAGUGCGGGUGAUUUGAAUGCUCCAGCCCUCACGCUGGAUAUCUCCUCCCAUAUUACGCCGGCUACCUGAAGGAGGAUCCGCCAUUUUCUCGCUUCACUUGUAUGCGACAGCCUGACUGCUGGCAUGUACAACCCGAAAGCCAAGCACUCCUGCUCUGUCGUCGGAUGUACGGACACUCAUGUUUCCCUACAUCGCCUCCCUACCAAAGAGGAUAUCAGAGCGAAGUGGCUAAAUAUUAUUUUUCAGGGAAACGUCCCAGCUUCACUGAGCAAAAGCGUUGUUGUCUGUGCCAAUCACUUCACACUGGACUGUUUCAGCAACCAGGGUCAGUAUCAGGCUGGACUGGCAACGAGAUUGUUCCUCAAAGAUGGAUCGAUACCCACUGUCCGUGUCAACGCCACAGAAGAAGUAACUCAAAGCACAUUUGUACAGCAGCCAGUGGUGCAUCAUGUUGCCUGCCAGACAGACCAACCAGUGAAAUGCACGGUUGGCACACAGCUGUCCAUGAGAACUCUCCGGCCUCACUUCAGAAGCUCAGGCACACAGAAAUCAGUGUCCUGUGCUGAUGUUGGAGUUGGCACCUCAAACAUUCCCUUCUCAACUUCCUAUCAUCAACCCCAAUCAAGAGACCAUGCAAAAGGGCUCGCUUGGAACUGGAGGAGGAGGAAGAAGAGGAUCCAUUGGAGGGCAGUUCAUUCAUGGACAUUCCCGACCCCAAGGAUUCUACGUAUAAUCCUGAGGAAUCUGUCACAGUUUUGUCUGAGUCAGUAGAUGUGACACUGGAGCCUUCCUGCCCUGUUCAUAAGACACCAACAUAUAUUGUCUAUGAAAAGUGUCUGAUGGAGCUGUUUGAGAUGUGCCCUGUCUGUCAGCGUGUUUCAGACGUUCAGACAAGAAGGAUAGGCACUUUCCUCUCUGUAGAACAGACAUGCCCACAUUGUCAGUUCUUCAGAAACUGGAACAGCCAGCCAAUUCUGGGAAGCAUACCAGCAGGAAACCUCCAGCUCUCAGCUGCAGUAUACACCACAGGAGCAUCUUUCUUUAAACUUGAAAAGAUCUUCCGGGCAAUGCAGCUGAAGAUGUUUCAGUAUGACACUUUUCGCCGUCAUGCA